rnacentral:tRNA from 1 species
GCUCUUAUAGCUUAACCAAAGCGUAGCGCUGAAAACGCUAAGAUGAACCCUAAAAAAGUUCUGAGGGCAC